rnacentral:lncRNA from 1 species
GCGUCCCAGCCGGCGGGCCGCGGUGGCUCACGGCUGUCGUCCUAGCUUUCUGGGAGGCGCGAGAUGGGUGGAUAGCUGCUGCUUCAGGGGUUCGACACCAGCGCCUGAACACUGCCUGAGCACAGCCAGACCCUGUCUCUAAAUCUAAAAAAAAAAGUAAAAAAGGCAAAAAAAAUACACAAAACACAAAACAGCCGGGCGGCUCUGGCAAGCGCCUGUAGUCCCAGCUACCUGGGAGGCUGAGGCAGAAGGCAGGCUCACAGGCCCAGGACGCUGGAGCUUGGGUGACCCGCCCUCCACUGCACUCUGGCCCAGGCCGCGAGUGACACUCUGUCUCCCACAAAAAAAAAAAAAUGAGAAACUGCAAUUGCAAAGAUGAAGUGCUUGCAAAUCCCCCUACCCCUUCCCCUCUUUUCAAUACAAAAAAAAAAAUGAGAAACUGCAAUUGCAAAGAUGAAGUGCUUGCAAAUCCCCCUACCCCUUCCCCUCUUUUCAAUAAAAAAAAAAUCGUUUAAUACUCUUCGUCUCUGCCUUCAUCAUACUCC